rnacentral:rRNA from 1 species
UCAGGAUGAACGCUGGCGGCGUGCCUAAUACAUGCAAGUCGAGCGAAUGGAUUAAGAGCUUGCUCUUAUGAAGUUAGCGGCGGACGGGUGAGUAACACGUGGGUAACCUGCCCAUAAGACUGGGAUAACUCCGGGAAACCGGGGCUAAUACCGGAUAACAUUUUGAACUGCAUGGUUCGAAAUUGAAAGGCGGCUUCGGCUGUCACUUAUGGAUGGACCCGCGUCGCAUUAGCUAGUUGGUGAGGUAACGGCUCACCAAGGCAACGAUGCGUAGCCGACCUGAGAGGGUGAUCGGCCACACUGGGACUGAGACACGGCCCAGACUCCUACGGGAGGCAGCAGUAGGGAAUCUUCCGCAAUGGACGAAAGUCUGACGGAGCAACGCCGCGUGAGUGAUGAAGGCUUUCGGGUCGUAAAACUCUGUUGUUAGGGAAGAACAAGUGCUAGUUGAAUAAGCUGGCACCUUGACGGUACCUAACCAGAAAGCCACGGCUAACUACGUGCCAGCAGCCGCGGUAAUACGUAGGUGGCAAGCGUUAUCCGGAAUUAUUGGGCGUAAAGCGCGCGCAGGUGGUUUCUUAAGUCUGAUGUGAAAGCCCACGGCUCAACCGUGGAGGGUCAUUGGAAACUGGGAGACUUGAGUGCAGAAGAGGAAAGUGGAAUUCCAUGUGUAGCGGUGAAAUGCGUAGAGAUAUGGAGGAACACCAGUGGCGAAGGCGACUUUCUGGUCUGUAACUGAC